AUACGGAGGAUACGAGCGUUAUCCGGAUUUAUUGGGUUUAAAGGGUGCGUAGGCGGCCUUGUAAGUCAGCGGUGAAAUUUUGCAGCUUAACUGUAAAAGUGCCGUUGAUACUGUGAGGCUAGGAUUUGGUUGCUGUGGGUGGAAUGUGUGGUGUAGCGGUGAAAUGCUUAGAGAUCACACAGAAUAUCGAUUGCGAAGGCAGCUCACAAAGCCAAGAUUGACGCUGAGGCACGAAAGUGUGGGGAUCAAACAGGAUUAGAUACCCUGGUAGUCCACACUGUAAACGAUGAUAACUCGCUGUCGGCGAUAUACAGUCGGUGGCCAAGCGAAAGCGAUAAGUCAUCCACCUGGGGAGUACGACCGCAAGGUUGAAACUCAAAUGAAUUGGCGGGG
rnacentral:rRNA from 1 species